GCCAGACAGACCCAACCCCAACCGCAACCAAGCCAGCAUCAAAUAGAGCGAAACAACAGGAAAACUAAGCCAAAGCCAAAGCCAAGCCAACCUGUUCCCGUUCCGUUCCUCCCACCCCCGCUCAACCCGCCUCCCUCCCCGCGCCUCCGCCCGUCCCCAUGGCGGCCACCCCGCCGUCGUCGCGGGACCCGUCGCCGCAGCCCCGCCGGCCGGCCGCCGCCGCGGGCCGGCCCGCCGCCAGCGGCACCGGCACCAUAGGCAACGGCAAGCGCGGCGGGCUCCUGCUCGGCCGCUACGAGCUGGGCCGCGUCCUCGGCCACGGCACCUUCGCCAAGGUCUACCACGCCCGCCACGCCGACACGGGCGAGACGGUCGCCAUCAAGGUGCUCGACAAGGAGAAGGCGCUGCGGGCGGGCCUCGUCCCGCACAUCAAGCGCGAGAUCACCAUCCUCCGCCGCGUCCGCCACCCCAACAUCGUGCGCCUCUUCGAGGUCAUGGCCACCAAGUCCAAGAUCUACUUCGUCAUGGAGUUCGUCCGCGGCGGCGAGCUCUUCGCGCGCGUCGCCAAGGGCCGCCUCAAGGAGGACACCGCGCGCCGCUACUUCCAGCAGCUCAUCUCCGCCGUCGGCUUCUGCCACGCGCGCGGCGUCUUCCACCGCGACCUCAAGCCCGAGAACCUCCUCGUCGACGAGCGCGGGGACCUCAAGGUCUCCGACUUCGGCCUCUCCGCCGUCGCCGACCAGUUCCACCCCGACGGCCUCCUCCACACCUUCUGCGGCACCCCCUCCUACGUCGCGCCGGAGAUGCUCGCGCGCCGCGGAUACGACGGCGCCAAGGCUGACAUAUGGUCCUGCGGCGUCAUCCUCUUCGUCCUCAUGGCCGGCUACCUCCCUUUCCAUGACCAGAACCUCAUGGCCAUGUACCGCAAGAUUUACAGAGGGGAGUUCCGGUGUCCGAGAUGGUUCUCCAGAGAUCUCACCAGCCUAUUGAAUCGGCUUCUUGACACCAACCCGGAGACAAGGAUCACCAUGGCGGAAGUCAUGCAGAGCAGGUGGUUUCAGAAGGGAUUUCGGCCCGUCAGGUUCUAUGUUGAAGACGAUCAGCUGCACAGCUUAGGGGACAGUGAGAGUGAGGAGCUGGGGCUGGUCGAACCUACGGAGCCUCCUCCUCCUCCUCCACUUCCGCCGCCGCUGCCGCCACCACCGCAGCAAGAGGAUGAUGACUCAGGGUGGGAGUCGGAUUCCUCUGUCGCAUCCUGCCCUGCCACGCUGUCGUGCGAGGAGCGGCAACGGCCUGCCGGGCGUCUCACACGGCCAGCAAGCCUCAACGCUUUCGAUAUCAUAUCCUUCUCCAAGGGAUUUGAUCUAUCAGGGCUGUUCGAGGAGCGAGGGAGCGAAGUGAGAUUCAUCUCGGCACAACCCAUGGAAACCAUUGUUACAAAAUUGGAGGAGAUUGCCAAGAUGAAGAGCUUCUCCAUUCGCCGCAAGGACUGGCGCGUAAGCAUAGAAGGCACCAGGGAAGGGGAGAAGGGGCCAUUGACGAUUGGGGCUGAGAUAUUUGAGCUUACACCAAGCCUCUUGGUGUUGGAGGUGAAGAAGAAGGCAGGGGAUAAGGCAGAGUAUGAUGACUUCUGCAACAAAGAGUUGAAACCUGGGAUGGAGCCUCUCGUGCACCACCAAUCUGGUUCGGCUCGAAAUGUACCUUCUGAUACUGAGUAGUUCUAAAGAAACCGACCAGAAGCGAAGGGCUGCAAACAAUUCAAUUCCUGUUCCUGCAAAGUCACAAACAUAUUGCUAUUCAGAAAGAGGUGCGGUAAGUUGCUUGUAUAUUCUAAUAAUCGUCUAUUAGUUCCAAAUCUGUUGGUCCAGAAAAAGGAAAGACAAACUGAAGCUUAGUGCCUAUUGUUUUUUGCUUGCAAGCAUUGCAAAUGAAGAGGACCAAUGGUUCUGUGCUCCUGUAUAGUCGUGUAUGCGAGAAUGGGUAAGACACUUACCAUGUACCAUGAUUCAGGAGUUGGGAUGGGACGAUAUGACAGGAGGGGCAGGGAGGAUUGUGUGUAGGUUGGAGGAUGGUCAAUGUAGGCCACUGGGGCUUAAGAUUGGACACUGCUAUAUGAAUAAAGUUAGAUCAGGCAUCACACUGAAUAAGGUGAAGUUUAGGGGUCAGGAUAUAAGCAUUUACUAAAUAUUUUAUAUUGCAUAUGCCUAUUCCUAAUCUAUUCCAUGUACAUCAGAGGUUGAUAUGUUAUUUCAGAGGAGGUACAAUUAAGUACAGUAGCUUCCAAGCAACUGGACACUUGAUAAGUUUUCUUAUGUGAUCAUAUGAAAUUUGACAACAUAACUUAAUUGUUAUUAUAAUAUAACUAAUAUAAGAACAGUAUGGCGUGACAAAUUACAAAGGGGUAAUAGCUCAAUCAGGCCAAGAAUUGUGACAAAAGAUCUAUAUUUAGCUGAAUGCAUACAGUUGUCACACUGAAUAAGGUAAAGUUGGCCAGGUUAGGGGUCAGGAUAUAAACAUUUGCAGAUUUAUUGAAUUAUUUGUGUUACACAUGUCUAUUCCAAUCUACUUCAUGUACAUCAAAGGUUGAUAUGUUAUUUCAGAGGAGGUGCGACAAGCACCUUCCAACACUGGAGUAAUAGGAGCUCAAUCAUGCCAGUAACUGUGAUGAUGAAUCAUAGCUGAAUAAAAAAAAGGUGCAGCCCGGUGCAUGUAGCUCCCGCUUGCGCAGGGUCCGAGGAAGGGUCCGACCACUUUGGGUCUAUUUUAUGCAACAUUUCCAUACAUUUUCUGUGAGAGGCUGUUGCUAGGGAAUGGUAGCUGAAAUGCAGUGAAAGAAAAAAGAAUGGCAUGCUUAAUUUAUGAUCUUCUAUUAUGGAUGUGUUCUUAUCCAGUUUUGAAGAUGUACAUACCGGCAAACUGAUCGCGUGGAUACCUACUAUACCGCCGGUUCUUGUUUAUUAAUUCACUCCGUCAAAUAAAUUUACAAGUAUUCCCGCAAAAAAAAUAUUUACAAGUAGAUUGAUUGGGAAAUUGCAAUGUGGCGUGAAGGAGGGGAAAUGCUUCAAAAAUACCAAUGUUGUGCAUAACAGAAUGCGCAUAAGGUUGUCAUGCUGACUACCUUUUCAUGUUUAUUAAAUAACAAAAAUGUUGAUUUUUUUUUCUCUCUCUGCUCCUUAAGGCUGGCUCCACAUCAACAAGGCAUGCCAUCUGUUGCCGCUCUUUGCUGAACAAGGAUCUAGGCUGCAGUUGCCAGUUAGAAAGGCUAAGCGCUGGCAAUCACAUAAAGACAUAGGCGUGAGUGAAAUCAGUGGCCUUGGCAGUACAUCCUUGGAAGUCGCUGCUUCGCUGAAUCGUUUGACAGUUGUGUUUGGUGACUAUUAUCCUAUUAAUCUUGGAUUGUGUUUAUACUUAGUUUACAUGAGGCUCAUGUUUCCUGUAAAUUCUUAUCCCAUUCUAUGUUCAUCCAUAGGAGAAGUGCUAUACACACGACGAUUUCUCGCCCGGUACAUGCACAACACUGAGCCGUGUCCUUUGAUCGAACAUGAGAAGCGUCGGGUUGGUAUCGGGCGUGGAACGUCGUGUGUGAAGCAAUUUCGUAUCCAUAUUCAGUUAUUAUUUCGAUGGUGAUCGAGGGAUGCGGAUUGAUUUGAAAUGUCUGGCAGACUCUUAAUCUCUGUUAUCUAAAAAUGUGAAAAAUGUGAUGACAAGAAGAUAAGAUGUUGAUUUGGUCUUUCAUAUCAUACAUAAAACGGGUCUGACAUCUUGUUAUUGGUUGCAGGUUGGCCGGUUUCAGUCACACAGAGAAGUUUCUCUAUCUAGUUGCGCUACCACUGGCGUUGUCUCUAGAGUUUGGUUGCCUAGAAUGGUACCCGCCAACGCUAUUGGUAGGAAGGAUUUUGACUUGGAACACCAGACUAUAAAUAGUCAGCUUGAAUUUGGUUGCAUAGAAAUGUCGUUCUGAAGCAAGAAAGGGUUCGAUUCAAACCGGAGAAAAAGUCAGAUUCUUGCUGUACAACAUACAUGGUGGUCUAGUGACUCUUAA
rnacentral:rRNA from 1 species